CUGCCACCGGCUUGCACCCAGCUCCUGUUCUCCUGGGAACCCUCAGGCCCUCCUCUGGAGAAACAAGCUCUCUGGAAAAAGAUAAGGUGUGACAGCCUCUGAUAAGGCCCCAGGGAUUCUCACCAAAGGAUUCUCCGAAGCAUCCAGAAGAAGUUCUGAAGGGCUGAUGGCUCCCGGAGCCUCCCGGAAGGGACAGAGCUUGAGCCUCCUUGUAGGUGCCCUGGUCACCUGAAGUCACC
rnacentral:lncRNA from 1 species